AGCUGAACUGAAGCUAAGGAAACAAUCUCUGGAGCCAGCGGCUGCCGCAUUUUUCUCAAGCCUCGCACACAACCCAAUAUUGUAUUAAUGUUCGCAAACUCGGCAAAAUUAUUUUCAAUUUACGUCCAGCAAUAAAUCGAUAUAAGCGCUGGUGCUGCUUUCUCCGGUGUUCCGUAAUUUCGUAAUCAUCGGCGUUGCACAAAGCUCAUUAGCAGGGGAAGCAGCAGGGCAGUGAAACGUGAGAGACGGGAACGAAAAUGGCUCCGUCUCUUCUCCACCGAGGCCACGGUGCAAAAAACUGGAGACGAUGGGACUGUGGUGCAGCUGGUGCAAAUGGGAAAGUCGCUAAGGAAACAGCGUUAACCGUCUCAACGCGAAGCUUGACCAUUCUCCUGAUCUGUGGACCUGGUCUUCACAGCCACGGCCACGGCUGCCGGCUCAAGUUUCAUGAGUGACACACAGUAAAACACCGGUACACAGUGUAGAGGAUUUUAUCUGAUGACUGCUGCCACCUAGUGGCUGAAUAUGCUGAAAAUUAUCAUUGUGGAACUCCCUCGCACCUUCCUGCGUGGUUGUGAAAUAACCUGAAACAGCAACAUAUAAGCAUAUAAGCGUAACCGUAAUCUAUUGUCCUGAG
rnacentral:lncRNA from 1 species